UACGUAGGGGGCAAGCGUUGUCCGGAUUUAUUGGGCGUAAAGGGCACGCAGGCGGUCUGUUCAGUUUGGAGUGACAGUUCCUGGCUCAACUGGGAAAGUGCUUCGAAUACUGGCGGACUUGAGGGCUUCAGAGGGACACGGAAUUCCGGGUGGAGUGGUGAAAUGCGUAGAGAUCCGGAGGAACACCAAAGGCGAAGGCAGUGUCCUGGGGAGUACCUGACGCUCAGGUGCGAAAGCCAGGGGAGCGAACGGG
rnacentral:rRNA from 1 species